AUGGCGGACACGCCGGCUUGUUCAAUCUGUGGAGCUGGGGAAGAUACCUGGCGUCACUCAUUGCUGAGCUGCCGCAUGGCUAGAUGCGUCUGGGCAUUGGGGGACGAGGAGCUCCUGGAGCAUGUAAUCUCAAAUCAAAAUGCUGAUGCCAGGCUAUGGUUGUUUUGGCUGUUUGAAUCGACCUCCCAACAGGAUCUAACGCGAGUACUUGUUACAAUGUGGGCUAUUUGGUGGGCUCGCAGAAAGAAAUCGCGAUCGGCACCAGCACCGGCGGCUCCCAGAGCGCGGGCAUGGCUGCCACCUGAUGGAGAAGCAGUGAAGCUAAACUGUGAUGGCGCCAUAUCAACUUUGGGCAACAAGGGAGCGGCGGCUGUGGUGUGCCGAGACAAGACUGGCAAGUUUCUUGGCGCUUCAGCUUUAGUUCUUGAGGGUUUGACUGAUCCGGCGAGCUUGGAGGCACAUGCAUGCAGUGAGGCCCUUGCCCUCGCUAAUGAUCUGAACCUGCAGGACCUGAUGCUUGCCUCAGACUGUUUAGAGGUAAUCUCCAACAUAAAUCAACAUGCAAUACCAGUGUACGCGUCGGUUCUGCAGGAGAUUCAAGUUACUAGGAACUUUUUCAAUUCAAUUAACUUUCGUUCUGAACGUAGAGAAAAUAAUUUUGAAGCCCACUCGGUUGCAAAAGGAGCUGCGUCUCUGCCGGUGGGCCGCCACGUGUGGCUAGGGAUCCUUCCUGAUAUUGCUUGUAUUCCGGAGGUGUUGAACUUUGAAUAA
rnacentral:rRNA from 1 species